rnacentral:rRNA from 1 species
GACGAACGCUGGCGGCGCGCUUAACACAUGCAAGUCGAACGGGGUUCACCUUUCGGGGUGUUCCUAGUGGCGAACGGGUGCGUAACACGUGAGCAACCUGCCUUCAGGUGGGGGAUAACCCGGGGAAACCCGGGCUAAUACCGCAUACGAUCUCCUUGUCGAUUGUCGGGGAGAGGAAAGCUCCUGCAAGGGAGCGCCGGAAGAGGGGCUCGCGGCGUAUCAGCUGGAUGGUGAGGUAACGGCUCACCAUGGCGACGACGCGUAGCCGAUCUGAGAGGAUGAUCGGCCACAUUGGGACUGAGAUACGGCCCAGACUCCUACGGGAGGCAGCAGUGGGGAAUCUUGCGCAAUGGGCGAAAGCCUGACGCAGCGACGCCGCGUGCGGGAGGAAGCUCUUCGGGGUGUAAACCGCUGUCGGGAGGGAAGAACGGGCGAGGGAGGCAAUGCCCUCGUUUUGACGGUACCUCCAAAGGAAGCACCGGCUAACUCUGUGCCAGCAGCCGCGGUAAUACAGAGGGUGCGAGCGUUGUUCGGAAUUACUGGGCGUAAAGCGCGCGCAGGCGGCCUUUUAAGUCUGACGGUGAAAUGCCGGGGCUCAACCCCGUGCCCGCCGGAGAUACUGGGAGGCUGGAGACGAGUAGAGGCAAGCGGAAUUCCGGGUGUAGCGGUGGAAUGCGUAGAGAUCCGGAAGAACACCGGAGGCGAAGGCGGCUUGCUGGGCCCCGGUCUGACGCUGAAGGCCCGAAAGCGUGGGGAGCGAACAGGAUUAGAUACCCUGGUAGUCCACCCCCGUAAACCAUGCCCCACUAGACAGCGGGUGGGGAUCCACCCCCUUCCGGAUUGCAAGUUAGACGUAUAAGUGCGCCUCCAGGGGAAGUAACGGUCCGCAAUGCUGAACCUCCAAGGAAAUUACCGGGGCCCCCACCCAAACGGUAGAGCAUGUGGUUUUUAUCUCGCAGCAACGCGAAGACCCUUACAUGGGCAUGACAUGGCACGGUGAAAUCCUCGGGAAAACGGGGACCCUCCUCGGAGCGCGUGCACAGUUUUUGCACGACUUUCAUCAGCUCCCCUCUACAGAUGUCGGGUUAAGUCCGACAACGAGCGCAACCCUUAUCCUCUGUCCCCACCGACUAAAUUCGGGGACUCUGAGGAGACUGCCGGUGACAAACCGCACGAAGGUGGGGACGAGGUCAAGUCAUCAUGGUCCUUACGCCCAGGCCUACACACGUGCUCCAAUGACCAGGACAAAGCGCAGCGAGCCCGCGAGGGGGAGCGAAUCCCAAAAACCUGCUCCAAUUUCAGAUUGCAGUCUGUACCUCUAAAGCAUGAAGCUGGAAUCGCUAGUAAUCGUGGGUCAGCUACACCUCGGUGUAUNC